rnacentral:rRNA from 1 species
UGGGGAAUAUUGCACAAUGGGCGCAAGCCUGAUGCAGCCAUGCCGCGUGUGUGAAGAAGGCCUUCGGGUUGUAAAGCACUUUCAGCGGGGAGGAAGGCGAUAAGGUUAAUAACCUUGUCGAUUGACGUUACCCGCAGAAGAAGCACCGGCUAACUCCGUGCCAGCAGCCGCGGUAAUACGGAGGGUGCAAGCGUUAAUCGGAAUUACUGGGCGUAAAGCGCACGCAGGCGGUCUGUCAAGUCGGAUGUGAAAUCCCCGGGCUUAACCUGGGAACUGCAUUCGAAACUGGCAGGCUAGAGUCUUGUAGAGGGGGGUAGAAUUCCAGGUGUAGCGGUGAAAUGCGUAGAGAUCUGGAGGAAUACCGGCGGCGAAGGCGGCCCCCUGGACAAAGACUGACGCUCAGGUGCGAAAGCGUGGGGAGCAAACAGGAUUAGAUGCCCUGGUAGUCCACGCCGUAAACGAUGUCGAUUUGGAGGUUGUGCCCUUGAGGCGUGGCUUCCGGAGCUAACGCGUUAAAUCGACCGCCUGGGGAGUACGGCCGCAAGGUUA